AGUGGAGUGGACAUGCUGUGGGAGGCUGGUAGCAGCUAUAAGUACCCGAGCCCCGAAGCAGCGACUUCAAACCAAGAAACAAAGAACAAAACUGCUGUUGUCCAUUUACGUGUAGCAGCUGAUUAUCCUGAAUCAAGCAUUGCUGAAAUUUCCCAUGUCUACAGUGCAUCUCAUUGACUGGCCCCUAUGCAAGACAACCGGAAAGCCGCUCUGUAAUCCCAUGGAUGAGUGGAACCGCUGGAACAGAGGGAGCAGUGUAGCACAGAGCGACGGCGCUUUGCAAAUUGACGUACAGACAGACUAAUCCCGCCUCGCUGACAAAUUGGACUUUUGUGUGACCAAUCUUCUGUGUCUUUGUGUGAUAUAGAAACUGAAGCAGUAAGUGCAGAUUUAUGUCAAUUAUUUCAUUUUUCAACACAUUCAGCCGUUUUAACAAUAGUUGCAAUGCAACAAGUGAGCAUUCGCAAUUCUGUAAUUAUAUAUUUCUUAGUAAAAUCAAUCAGUUCAGCAGUACAGCAAUGUUCCUGUAGCUUGAUUUGUGUAGAGCAUUGUGCUAACAAAGGUCACAGGUUUAAUCCUUGAAAGCACAUGUAUGGAUAAAAAAUGUAUAGCUUGAGUGCACUUGAAUGUCGCUUUAGAUGAAAUCGUCUUCGAAAUGCGUUACUA